UGGCUUCCAGUUUCCUGGAACUAUGUGACAAAACGAUAGAGUAUCCAGCAUCCAAGCGCUACUACAAUGGAGAGGCCUUCAACGAUAUGACUGAGGAGGACUGGAAAAAGGUUAAGAUGAGUGAUGUGGGGAGGAAACUGCAGGAAGAACAUAAAAAGCUGGUAACUGAAACCCAGUCAGCGUUCGUCAGCCUCAUAUCAUAGAUUCUGGUAUUUGGCCAAAAGAGAGCUUCACAAUUCUUGGCUUCACCUGUGGUAGAAAAAUGACUAAAGCUAUGCAACACUCUCUAAAAUUAAAGCUAUGCAACGCUUUAACAUGAAUGGCGAAGGAGUGCAUCUCUUUCACUGUCUCUUCCUGUCCUCUUCUCAGUCUUUGUUGUGGCACCUCUGCUAUGUGUUACAGGAAGCACUUGGAAUCAUGUUCAAUACAAAAACACCAAACUCGUGGGAUAGCCCUAGCAAGCAGUUGGUAAAAACUAAUUGAAACUGAUAUAUAUCAGUUUCACCUUCUAGCUGCAAAAGCACGUUUCUGCAAAAGCAUGCAGUUUCCUGUCAGCACCUUUUGGCACAGAGUGUACUCAGAGUUAGGCCUUUCUUAUAUAAAGCAAUAUAAUCAGCAUAUAAACAUUUAAGAUGAUGAAUUUAAAGCUCAACAGUAACUGCUAUAAAUAUUAUAACUACACAUGUAGUGCUUUUGCUUAAGUAAAUUAUAGUUGGGAUCAUAAUAAGAAAACAUGUGUUUUUAUUUUCUGUGUACCCUGGGUACAGACCAGUAUAAACAUGGGAUUCUUCCCAAUAAAUGCUGUCUAAUAAUG